UAGAAAGUGGUGUAAUGGGAGCACUUGGAGUUUUGAUCUCCAGGAUAUGGGUUCGAGUCCCUUCUUCUAA
rnacentral:tRNA from 1 species